AUUGAACGCUGGCGGCAUGCUUUACACAUGCAAGUCGAACGGCAGCGCGGGCUUCGUCCUGCCGGCGAUUGGCAAACGGUUGAUUAAUACAUCGGAACUUCCCCAGUAUUGGGGAAUACCUCGCCAAAAUCGGAAUUAAUCCCCCAUACAACCUGAGGGUGAAAUCGGGGGUCCUUCGGACCUCCCCCUUUUGUACCGCCCGAUGGCAGAUUAGCUAGUUGGUGGGGUAAAGGCCUACCAAGGCGACGAUCUGUAGCUGGUCUGAGAGGACGACCAGCCACACUGGGACUGAGACACGGCCCAGACUCCUACGGGAGGCAGCAGUGGGGAAUUUUGGACAAUGGGCGAAAGCUUGAUCCAGCAAUGCCGCGUGUGUGAUGAAGGCCUUCGGGUUGUAAAGCACUUUUGGCGGGAACGAAAAGGACUGUGCCAAUACCACGGUUCGAUGACGGUACCCGCAGAAUAAGCACCGGCUAACUACGUG
rnacentral:rRNA from 1 species